rnacentral:rRNA from 1 species
AUUGAACGCUGGCGGCAUGCCUUACACAUGCAAGUCGAACGGCAGCACGGGAGCUUGCUCCUGGUGGCGAGUGGCGAACGGGUGAGUAAUACAUCGGAACGUACCCAGUAGUGGGGGAUAACGCACCGAAAGGUGCGCUAAUACCGCAUACGACCUACGGGUGAAAGCGGGGGACCGUAAGGCCUCGCGCUAUUGGAGCGGCCGAUGUCUGAUUAGCUAGUUGGCGGGGUAAAAGCCCACCAAGGCGACGAUCAGUAGCUGGUCUGAGAGGACGAUCAGCCACACUGGGACUGGGACACGGCCCAGACUCCUACGGGAGGCAGCAGUGGGGAAUUUUGGACAAUGGGGGCAACCCUGAUCCAGCAAUGCCGCGUGUGCGAAGAAGGCCUUCGGGUUGUAUAGCACUUUUGUCAGGGAAGAAAUCUUUCAGGCUAAUACCCUUGGAAGGAUGACGGUACCUGAAGAAUAAGCACCGGCUAACUACGUGCCAGCCGCCGCCGUAA